UGGAACAAUUUGUCAAACUAUAUAUGAUAAAUACAAAAGAGAUGAAAGUGUACCUGUUUUUUGUUGAGAGUGUUUUUUUUUCCGUAACAAUUGUCUCUUAGCUCGGGCUGUAUACGCAUCCCUUUUGUUAUUGCCUACAAGCAUAGAUUUGAAAUUACAUUGGAUUUAUAAAAUUUUAGAACCUAAAAGUUGUAUUUAUAUAAUGAAGCUUAUAAAAGAUCUAUUGAAUAAUAUAUGAAUAUAUACCCGUGUUAACUUUCAAAACGAUGGCAUUUCGUAAGGGUGUAUUUCUCUUUCUAGACAUGAUUAUACGCCUUCUCUGUCUCGCAGUAUAGGAUAAGUAAUUGUAGUCUGAAUAAAAAAAUUAAUAAUAAUAAUUAAUAAGAAUUACAUUGAAAAUAUUAUAUAUAGUUUAAUAAUAAUAUUCGAAAUAUAUUAUUAACUUUACCUAUAUAUGGGCAUUUCCAAAUCACAUCUCUGUAAGCUCUAUUUGCCAUGAUAGCACGUCUCCUUUGUCGAGAAAUCCAAGCAUUUAUUCUUGCAACUGUGACAUAUGUUUUGAUAUUGUAAAAGCAUAAUUUAAAAUCCAAGCAGUUAUUCUUGUAACUUUCAUAAAUAUAAACCAAAAAAUACGGUGUGCUUAAGGGUUAAUAGUGUGAAUAGAUGCUUACAAUUGUUUGCAUGAAACAUGGCCAUAUUUAGAUCAUAAGCUCCAAUGCUUGGACUCACUGAUUGUAAAACACAUGAACUUUGUGUCACUUGCUUAUCAAUGAUAUGAGCAUUUAAUUUAAAUUACGAAUUAAGAUGUACCUGUGGUUAUUUCAGUAUUGUAGAAAUUUGCAAUUCUUUGUCGCUUGUUAGUAGGUGAAUACAUCUACAAUAGGAAAUUUAUAAAUAUAUAUUAACUUCACAAGUAUCCAUUCACACAGUUUAUUAGAUUUAAAGUAUAAAUAUAUUUUAGUAGUAUCAUGAUGAGAUUAAAUUCGAGUUCGAAUGAGAAAUCCUAUAUAGGUGACGUUGAUGAGAUUUGAAUAUGAAGAAAAUUAUUUGAAAUUUUCUCAAGCAAUUAAAUUUUAUAAAAAUCAUAUAUCUAUAUUAAUAAUUUAAUUAUAAUAUUUGUAUGGAUGUGAAAUUGUGAUUAUUAAGUUAAAACUCUAAUUGUGAUUAUUUUUCAAAUAUAAAAUUGUAAUCUUCACUAUUUAAUAUCCCAUUCAUUUAGAUUUUUACUAUAGCUCAUAAAAAAUAAUGAUAUCCAUAUUAUAUAAUUAAAAUAAAUCAAAGGUUCGACAACUACUUGGAUUAGUUAACAAAUAAUUUAAGAAUUUCCAAUACUUAACAAAAAGCAAGAUAUUAAGUUUGAAAGUAACUGUACAGUAUAUUUAUUGAUUUUAAUAUCAUGUGUCGAGUCUUUAUUUAAGAACAUAUAAGUAUUUUAAUCCUUCUAAGAUUUAUGAAUAAAAAAUACAUAAAUAUAAAAAAAGACAAUACACGCUUGAGGUGGGAAAAUUAAAAAGAAAAAAUAAGCAUAAAAGACAAAGAAAUAAAAUGAGAAAGUUAUAAAGUUGAGAUUCUAAUAAAGCUUAAAUGACAAUUCUUUAAUUUAUAGGUUGUUAGUAGGUGAAUCCAUCUACAGUCAAAAAUUUAUAAAUAUAUAUUGUAACACCCAGCAUUUUCACCACAGUAUAUAUAGUAUUAAUAUUGUUUUCUAUGAUUUUAAAGAAGAAAGAGAAGUCUCAAUUUUUAUGCAAAACCUGAACUUAGUUAUUUAACGAGCAGAUUAUAUCGAGAUUUUUAAAAUCAUAGAAGCUCGAGUAUUUCAUGAUUUUAAGGUUGAUAGGAUUUUAUGCAAAAAGCCCAACAAUUAUGGGUAAAUGGGCCAAAAGUUGUGUAAGAGUAGAAAGCCCAAUAAUUAUUUUGGGCUGGGGUAGUCGAGCCCAAGUUAUUAUAUAUGAAUUCAGUUUUAAGAUGAAUCCCAAUAAACCUUUUAACUGGGCUAAGAGUUUUAUUAUAAAAAGAGGCCCAAUAAUAUUAUUGUUUGGGCUAGUAAUUUUGUUUAUAACCAAAGCCCAAUGUUAUAUAUAUGAAUUUAGUUCAGAUGGGCCAAUGGUUAUUACUUGGGCCAAGAGGUGAUGUAAUAAUAUAAAGCCCAAUGCCUCAUAGUUAUAUUAGAGAAUCAGUUAUUUUUCUAAUGAGCUUUAGUUAGCAGUUAAAAUUCAUUAGAACAAAUUAUACUCCUUGAAUGAACACGUAGAGCUUGAUACUACACGUAUCUUCCAACUUUACACUCAGCUCUCAAUUUUACACUCAGCCAAUUUACACUCAGUCCAAAUCCCAAACCGACUCAAACGAGUAUAAAUACGAUGAGUUACCAUAAAUACUUAUUUUUCCCCUAUUCUGCAAACUCCAAACAGUAAAGUAAAUAUCCAUCCCAAAAGCAUAAAUCAUCCCCAGCAGUCAUCACAGCAAACAAGCAGGUAGUAUUCUUCCUUCAACUCAGUAAUCACUCGUAGAUAGUAAUCAAGAAUAGCAGAGAUAACAUCAAUUUUCUUUAACAUCUACAGAAUACAUCUAGUUACAACAGUUUAUAAAUCAAUAAUAAUCCAAACAGAAGGCUGAGUCUUAUAAAAACAAAGUCUUGGGCUGUAGAUGAACUGCCGAUGAAACCAUCUCAAACCAUCUUGAAUCACCGAUUCCUGGAACAGAAAAGUUUGAGAUUUUAGUUUGUGAUGUUAAAACUGAAAUAGAAAUUAGAUUGGAAGUUUGCUGGAAUGAGAUUUUGAAUUGGGAAAUAGAGAAGAGGGAAGGAAGAAGGAGAAGGGGGGAAAUAGCAGUAGCAGCAGCAGCCGCGAGCCACCGCAGCGGAGGCACGGCUGGCGGCGGUGGUCGCCGGCGCCACGGCGGCCGUGGUGGCUACUGACAGCAGAGAGAGAAAUAGAGAGGGAGAUUAAACCAGGGAGAUAGAGAGUGAAAUAGAAAGAGACGGAUAGAACGAGUUGGAGGGAGAGAGGGGAGUGCAGGACGGCGGAGACCACCGACGCUGCAUGCACUGUCGCGGCUCGCAGCGGCCGCCGCGGCCCGACCAGAAAAGAGAGAGAGAUCGAGAUAGAGGAGCAGAGAAAGGAAGAAAGAAAAGGAGAAAGAGAGAUGGGGAGGCUUACCUGAAUCAGAGGGGGUGGCGGCGCGACGAGCACGGCGGCGGCAGUGGCGGAGUUCACCGGAGGAACAAACUUCAGGAAAUUUUGAAACCCUAGAUCUAUUCUAAAUUCAGGAGAAAGAGGAGAAGAAAUGGAAGGAAAGAAAUGGGAAAGAGAAGAGGCCGACCUCGCCGCGCCGGAGGCCGCAAAGGCCGGCGACGCUCGCCGGGAAAGAGAGGGACAGAGAGGAGCGGUAGAGAGCAGAGAGAGAGAGAAAAGAGUUCUGUUCAGAAUAAAAGAGAAUUGAAUGAGUUAAGGAAGAAUAAUUAAAAUGUUUUCUAAAAUUCUAAAUUGCUUAUUAAAUCAGAAAAUAGUUAAUUUAUUUAAUUGGGCUCAGGUUAAUUUUGAGGAGCCUAUUAAUUCUCUAAUGGGCUAAGUUAAGUGACUAUCUGUUGGGCUUUUGAUUAAUUAGGUAAUAGGACUGUUUUAAUUGGACCUUUAAUUUAUUCACAUGGGCUGCAUUAUUAUCAUUUGAGCCCAAUAGUUUAUAUAAAUAAGAUUAGCUAUUCAUUAAUAAUUAGAAGUGAUUAAUUAAAGUAUUCAAAUAUAUAGAAUUCUUUUAAGAAGCUAUUAAUAAAUUAGAUACUAGAAUCAUAUUCUAAAAAGAGGCGAAAAAUGGAGUAUUAAUUAAAGUGGCUACCGCAUUUGAAUCUAUGUUGACAUUUGUUGAUAAGCUUGCCAAAUGGCAGUUAGUCUUUAGUUCAUAAAUUCCAAAUAGGAAUAUCACCUUAAGAUCCACACACGUACUCUUUAAGUUAAAUCCAUAUUAUUUUCUCGUUAUUUACUUAGUUAGUUAAUUUAUACUGAAGGUCAUAUACAAGAAAAGGUGAAUCCAUAGUUCAGAAUCACCUGGAUUGUCAGACCACAAUCAGGUGGGCUUUCUAAACUCAAAAUGUGAAGUGUGCACUAUUUCAUGAUGUUUACAUGAAUGAAGUUAUAUUAAAGUUAUUGACUUGCCAAAACUUUUAUGAGCUUGUAUGAUACCUAUCUGGCACCAGAAGUAAAUCGAAUUCGGAUCCUGUUCUAUCCAGAUGUUAGACAGGAUUAGUGUACACAAGGGACCGUGAGCCGAUCUAGCAUAUCGGCCGGCCUAGGACCGUGAGCCGGUUUAGCGUAUCGGCCGGUCUAGGUCCGUGAGCUGGUUUAGCGUAUCGGCCGGUCUAGGACCGGAGCCGGUUUAGCUACCGGCGGUCAGUGAUCGUAGAAGGUGGCCACCUUCUCGGCACACAGUUAUCACUGCAGAUAUGGUAGAGUACAAAGAAGUAUGUCUGCAGACGAUUGAGUUUAUGAUGAAUAUAAAGUAAGUUUUACUAGUUUUGGCGUGCACAGGUUAUUUAAAUAAAACUCCUGUGUGAUGCUUGAGAUGGCAAGUUCAAUAUAUAGCUCUAAGAGCAAGCUUUAAAGUUAUUUCGGCAUGUGACCAUUGAGUACCUUUUUAGUACUCAGCCCUGCAUAUGUUUUCUAAAUGUGCAGGUUAAGCUGGAUGCAGAUGGAUGUCGAGCAGAGCGAAGCUUUUGAAAUAAGUACUAAAUUAGGCUCAGGAUUCAUGUCUUCAUAAUGUAAUCCACUUAGUAUUCCGCUGCAACGCUUAGUGCGUUUUACUUAUGAUGUGUUGCAAAGAUUUCAAACUAAUAGCUUAGAAUUUGCAUGAUAUUAGACAACUUGUCGUUAUAUAUUGAGUUGUCUCUGAGUUUUAAGAAAAGAUUGUUUAUGAUUACCAAAUAUUUUGGUAAAUUAUUGUUUAAGCAGGUUAGUGAUUUUUAUUUAGAUCCUUUUUCUUUUUAUUUUCUUAUUUUGUUUUCAGUCACACUUUUCCCCCGACUUAACUAUUCACUAGUUUAGGUCGGGCUGUGACAUAUAUUAACUUCACAAGUAUCCAUUCACACAAUUUAUUAUAUUUAAAGUACACACAAAGAAUAAAAAGAUAAAUAUAACUUUGUACUAUCAUGAUGAGAUGAAAUUCGAGUUGCAAUUGAUAAAACAUUUAGCACAGAGAGAUAUUCACUACACAAUGAAGUACAUACCUCAAAAUUCAUAAUUUGAUGAACGAAGAUUAAAUAGAAAUUAAUAUUGAUCCGAAUGUAUGUAAUUUGAUUGGAGAUGAAAGGUAGAGUGUUCAAGCCAUUAUUUAUAGUUGAAAAAAAUGUAUGAUGGGCAGUAGCCAAAUUGGAGGCUGAUUAUUAGCUUUUUAAAAGUUAAGAUAAUCAACAGGAGUAAAUUUUGGAAAAUUAGCUAUAACUCAACGGAUGUUAAUUCCGUAUUCUUUUCCUACUUGUUAUGAUAAUCAACAGGAGUAAAUUUUGGAACAUUAGCUUGUUAUGAUUAGUUUACUUUUGGAACAUACUUUUUUGGAUUCAUUUUAUUUUCAAGCACCUCACGUUUUUUCUUGCCACUUAGUUAGGUUCAAUUAAUUGUUUUUAACUUUUUGAUCAAGGAGGUUAUUGGCAGCUGGAAAAAAAAAAAUCCCUUGCAAGCAUCUUUUCAUGGUUUUUUCCUAAUUUGCUUUAUUGUAUAUAAAAUUAGGCACUUGAUUCCUAAUUUAUAUGCCUGUUUAUAUGCACUCCUAAUAUGCACUCCCUGUUAUUGGCGGCUGGAAAUCACAGCUGCGUUUCCAAAUGGCAAGUCUCAUUUUACAAAAUUAGAUUAGUAAAUCCCAUAAAUUAUUCACACGCUAAUCACAAAAUUAGAUUAGUAAAUCCCAUAAAUUAUUCACACGCUAAUCACAAUCUAGUCUUUACUCUUUAGUAGGGUUAGAAUUCCAUAUUUUUGUUGUAGAAUGGGACAUUUAUGUCGUAGUGAUGCGUAUAAUGAUUCUUAUUGUAUAAUAAUUCAAGUAAUUGAUUCACGUAAUACAUAUAGUGAUUUCAUUGCUGGGCGUCCAAAAGGGGCUAUCACCAAGAAGGGAAGAGUUUCUGAUUCUUCUAUCAAGCACAGACUUCGUCGUAUCAUAAUCAAUGGCAUGUCUUCGGAUUUCCAAAACUCAGCACGCAGUGAUGAUAUGCAUGGCCCAGGUCUUGACACUUCUUCACCUGUGGAGUUCCUGAAUAAAGUGAAGUAUGCUCAGUCUGGAAGACAGAUAAUGCAAAACUUUGUGAUCAACUCCUCUAACUCUACCGAUGCAGCCCACUCUAUGUCGGUUGUGGCCUCUUCAAAAAUGAAGAAAAAAUGGGCCGAUUUGCUGGACGAUGAAGAGGACGAGGUUUUAGACGAGGAUGACCCUCUUAAAAUGUUCUCUUAGUCUUGGUUUCUUUUUUGGUUACCCGGGGUUUCUUGCGGGUGUUUUUGCUUGUUUCCUUUGUAUCUGGUCUCUCUUUUUUACUUUUCUUUUUAAUAAAAUUUCUAUUUCAACAUUGCUGGGAUCAAAUAUAAAGUUAAAUGCAUUGUUUUUUAGAAAUAUAAUUAUAAAACAAACAGAACUUGUUAUGGUUAAGUUUGAAAAUAGUCAACACACAAGUUUUUUUCAGAGUUUCGAAAAUAAAUUUUUGUGGUUGAAAACGUCAAGUGAAAAUUAUAUUCUUAAACUCUUAUUUUUGUAAUUCUUUUUAAAAUGUCAAUCAUAUUAUAAAAUUGAAGACCCAACAAACAAAACACAAAGUUCAACCAAUGGAAUCAAACAAAACCUGCUUAGAUAUUAUUCAAUUUUGUCUAAUAACCUGCUUAUGUCAAAAUAAGCGAAGUCCUCGCCAGAGGAGUCAGCGAAGUCCUCGCCAGAGGAGUCAGCGAAGUCCUUGCGAGAGGAAUCAGCGAAGUCCUCGCCAGAGGAGUCAGCGAAAUUCUCGCCAGAGGAGUCAGCGAAAUCCUCAAAAAGCGGAGUCAGAGAAAUCCCCAAAAGGCGGGACCAGAGAAAUCCCAAGAAAGGCAAACACAGGGGGUUCGCCAAAGGAAGAGUCAGAGAAAUUACGGCAACACGAGUCAACGAAUGCAAAGAUAUCAUAAGGAAACCAUCAACCAUAUCAAAAUCAGAGAAAUCCAAUCAGACGAGUCAGCGAAAUCAUCAGAUGAGGAGUUACCAAAAAUUCUAAAGAAAAAUUUCAGCACUUUGAUUAAAAGGAUAAACACGCCAUUUCACAAGAAGGAAAUCUAACUUGGAAUUACAAUUCCAAAGUCAAUCAUAUUAUAAACUUGAAAUCUAACUCUUAUUUUUGUAAUUCUUUUUAAAAUGUCAAUCAUAUUAUAAAAUUGAAGACCCAACAAACAAAACACAAAGUUCAACCAAUGGAAUCAAACAAAACAUGCUUAGAUAUUAUUCAAUUUUGUCUAAUAACCUGCUUAUAUAUUUAUUCUAUUUUGUUAAAAAAAUCCAUACGCAUCACACGCUAAUCACAGCUGCAUUUCCGAAUGGCAAGUCUAUUUUUCCUAUAUUAUAAAGAAUAUUUUUUUCUCAAGAUCAGCAGCAACGUUUCUCAAUCUCAGAGGUGUUUCACUACGAUCAGCUCAAUGUUCGACUAUAAAUCAUAGUCUCACAUAUUUAUUUUAUUACAUACUUGCUGUUUAAUUCAUUUCGAUAUUAACAACCAUUGGAUUUUCAGAAGAACUUCAGAAACUCGAAUUUGAACUGCAAAUUCUUAAGUUUUAUUAAAUUAACUAUGCAUGAAACCAUACCGCACUUAUUUAAAUAAAACACACGAACAUGAAUUGUAAUAUUUCAUAAAAACUAACUAAUCUUCACACUCGUUCAUCAAUUCCGCCUCAUCUUCGGAUGGAUCCUCCUCCGAAUCACUUAUCUCAAUUGGUUCGUAGUUUUCGUCGAUAACUUGGACACCCAGAUAUAGAGCUCUAAAUUUGUCCUCCAAGGCGAUCUUGAAUGCUCAAAUUAUUUGUCAAUGCGCCCCGGUCUUUUAACGAUCAUUUGAUUAUAUAUCUCGGCGACAGUGUAGUAAAGAUCUUGCGGAACGGAAUCAACAACUUUAAGUGCAGCCUCAAUAUCACUAACCUGUCGUCCGUAGUCCAUGGUCCUAAGCCAUAAAAAACGGAUACGAUCAAGAUUCUCUAAUAUUCCCAUUCGGCCGUUCCAUUUGCGGUUAAAGAAUCUAUGUUUGGAGGCCUUGUGCAAUUCUUUCAUUGUUGCGUGGAUGCCGGCCAUUCUAAUGAACAGAAACCAAUUGUAAGAAAAAAUAAUCGAUGGAUUAGUGAUAAUAUGGGGAUUCACUUUACUUUAUAAAAUAUAAGUCCAGAUCAAAUAUAAAGAUGAUGAUGAUGAUGAUGAAGAAAAUUUUCAAUGUUGAAAAAAUGUAUCUGAACUGUUAUUUAUGUAAUGAUAUUGUCAAUGAUAAACUAAAGUUGCUGCAUCUAUUACUAUUCUCACCUGCAAACAUAAACUAAGUAUCUUCAAACUGGUCAUGGCCCAUAAGAUAUUCAGAUUUUCAGCAUCGAAUACAAUAGUUCAAACACAAACAUGAAUGAUUACAUAUACAAACAGAAUCCAAUAACACAGAAUCCAAUAACCUUGCAUGAUAGAAAUAGGAACACAAACACAAACAUGAAUAGUUCAAACACAGAUAGAAUAGUUCAAGCAUGAAUAGUUCAGCCUAGUGCAUGAUAAAUAUUUAUUGUUAUUAUUUCGGACGGGAAACCACUUUGAUUGCGGUUCAAGUGCGGUUAAGUCCUUGAUUGCUUUAUAUAACAGAGAAGCAUCCAAAUGAAAGCAAAACUCCACAUAUUUUCCAAAUGCCCACUACAAAACAGAGUAUUGAAAUCGGAAAAAUGGAGCAAAACCGAGCACAUGCGUGAUUACCUAGAUAAUACGAAACAGAGAAAGAGCAGAUCCUUCAAUCGUCGGCGCCGGUGUCCGCGUCUGUAAAUUAAUUGGGUACGGGAGGGGUCUGUGGUAGUAAUUGUCUGCAAAUUCAAAAAUUUAUAUAAAACUCAAGGUGUAGAGCAAUAUGGGACGGAUGAAAUCCGCACCUUUCCAAAUCGAUCACUACCAAUUACUUACCCUGAUUCAUGGAUCUACAGCGAUGGGGAAGAAACGUUUGCAACCAUGGAUGAAGCACCUCCCAAAUUAGGGCCCUCGAGAUUGAAAGAGAGAUAUACUGAAUCUGCCUUCUUUUGCAGCCAUGGAUGAAUCUGUAGUUGUUGAGAAGAAGGGUUUGCAGCCAUGGAUGACGCACAUCCCUAAUUUGUGUCAUCGAAAUUCAAAGACAAAGACUGAUUUUGCGCCUACUGUUUGAGAAAUUGCCUAUGUGAAGAUUAUGGAAACUGUUGCGGAUUUGAAGAUGAAGGGAUUCCAUAUCUGAGUGGCUAUGAAUGGGGGAAACAAAUAAUCC
rnacentral:lncRNA from 1 species